rnacentral:rRNA from 1 species
UAACACGAAGUGAGUGGCGGACGGGUGAGUAACACGUGGGUAACCUGCCCAGAAGCAGGGGAUAACACCUGGAAACAGAUGCUAAUACCGUAUAACAGAGAAAACCGCCUGGUUUUCUUUUAAAAGAUGGCUCUGCUAUCACUUCUGGAUGGACCCGCGGCGCAUUAGCUAGUUGGUGAGGUAACGGCUCACCAAGGCGAUGAUGCGUAGCCGACCUGAGAGGGUAAUCGGCCACAUUGGGACUGAGACACGGCCCAGACUCCUACGGGAGGCAGCAGUAGGGAAUCUUCCACAAUGGACGCAAGUCUGAUGGAGCAACGCCGCGUGAGUGAAGAAGGGUUUCGGCUCGUAAAGCUCUGUUGUUAAAGAAGAACGUGGGUGAGAGUAACUGUUCACCCAGUGACGGUAUUUAACCAGAAAGCCACGGCUAACUACGUGCCAGCAGCCGCGGUAAUACGUAGGUGGCAAGCGUUAUCCGGAUUUAUUGGGCGUAAAGCGA